ACGUGAUCUGAGUUCAGACCGGAGCAAUCCAGGUCAGUUUCUAUCUAUAAUAGGGGCUUUCUCCAGUACGAAAGGACCGACAAAGCACGGCCAAUAUAUCACGCAAGCCGUAACUAAUAAAAUAUGACUAAGUCUCAACAAAUAAAUAGUCCUUCACGUAACUUAAAAAAAAAGU
rnacentral:rRNA from 1 species